UACGGAGGGUGCGAGCGUUGUCCGGAAUCACUGGGCGUAAAGGGCGCGUAGGCGGCCGUUUGCGUCGGAUGUGAAAGCCCGGGGCUCAACCCCGGAACGGCAUCCGAUACGGGACGGCUGGAGACCGGGAGAGGAGGGUGGAAUAGCCAGUGUAGAGGUGAAAUUCGUAGAUAUUGGCUGGAACACCGGUGGCGAAAGCGGCUCUCUGGCCCGGUUCUGACGCUGAGGCGCGAAAGCCAGGGGAGCAAACGGG
rnacentral:rRNA from 1 species